CAAACGGACGAGGACGAGGACAAGU
rnacentral:piRNA from 1 species